AGUGAACGCUGGCGGUAGGCCUAACACAUGCAAGUCGAACGGCAGCACAGUAAGAGCUUGCUCUUACGGGUGGCGAGUGGCGGACGGGUGAGGAAUACAUCGGAAUCUACUUUUUCGUGGGGGAUAACGUAGGGAAACUUACGCUAAUACCGCAUACGACCUACGGGUGAAAGCAGGGGAUCUUCGGACCUUGCGCGAUUGAAUGAGCCGAUGUCGGAUUAGCUAGUUGGCGGGGUAAAGGCCCACCAAGGCGACGAUCCGUAGCGGGUCUGAGAGGAUGAACCGCCAACUGGGAACUGAGACCCGACCCAGGCCCCUAGGGGGGGCAGAGGGGGGGAAGAUUGGCAAAAGGGGGGAAUCCUGAACCAGGCAAACCGGGGGGGUGAAGAAGGCCUUCGGGUGGUAAAGCCCUUUUUUGGGGAAAAAAAAGCAGCAGGUUAAACCCCCGGUGUUUGGAGGGAACCCAAAAAAUAAGCCCCGGUAACUUUGGG
rnacentral:rRNA from 1 species